UACGGGCGAGAGACCGAUA
rnacentral:snRNA from 1 species